AUAGCAUAGUCGAUAAGAGAUCUGUGUAUGUUUGUGCUUUAUCUUGAAACUGCAAUAUUUGUGUUUAACAGAAGAUUAUACAGAAGAUUUUGUAUUACUAAAAUGUGUUUUACGAGUACGUUUACUUGAAGAAAAACGGUAAUUUGUACAUAUCCACCAUUAAUAGGUUUGUAACUUGGAAGCAUUAAUUUCCUUUCUCAUAUAGUAAUGUAAAGUGUGAGUGAUAAAAUGUAAUCAAGAUUCAAAGUAAAAGGACUCAGUUGCUUCUUCGGCUCGACUUUAAUAACUUCAAAUAAACAGGUCGACACUAUCCGCAACAGAUCAGAUAGUGCUCAAGAAUUGAUCCUGGAUGCGUAGAAACGUACAAAAAUCGACUGAUAAGGCUGAUUGGUUUGCUGGAAUCAUGCACACGUCAAUCCAUCGUUUUAGAUAUUGGAGGCCAUAUCGACCAUGGAUGGAGUCCAAACUAUAACUAUACCUGAAAGAUAGAAGAUUCAACAUAUAGGACCGGCCUUUUCUCGCACACCACAACGUAGAACAGCGAAUGAUUAAAAUAGUCUGAUUUAUAACAGUCAUAAACAUGUCAAUAUACUCCGAAGAGAUGCGUUGCCUAGAAAACAUCUUUUGCUGGGCAUGAUUUUAUAUGUUGUGAUAAGCAAGCUUGAAAAGACUGCCUUUCCUUCCAAAACUUAGUUUGUGAGGCUGCUCAGCAUAUUUGGUUUGAGGGAGGCGAUGAAAGUAUCUUCUAGAGACUUGAAGUGAUAUCUUGAUAAAUUAACAGUGAACAUAAAAUAGUACAGGUUCAAAAGUGUCAUGGUCGGAUUAUUGUUCAUUUAACUCUUUCAUUAACCAGUCUUGACAAACCAGAAAACUGUUCUGUUUAACUACCUGGUGCAAGUAUUGCAGUGAAAGAAAAAAAUCAAAGUAAAGAUUGAAUAAAAAUGUAAUCACACAUUUCGAAAAUUCAACAAAUCGAACAACAUUUCAUGUUUAUUAAUUGGAGCAGUGGUAAUAAGAUCUUGCAGCCCCCUUUUAUGACUUGCGUUGUUGAGUAUUUUCAUUAAGUAUUUUCAGAUAUUCAGAUUUCAUAUGAUAUUGAGUUCAUUUAUUAGUACAAUUUAAUAUGUUUGUUGUUAUAGUGAACCAUAAAGUCAAGAAAUGUUGAUGAUGAUAGUUUGUUGAGUGUCGA